CAUCUCGUCACCCUCAAAGAGAGAGAGGACAAAAAUUUGAUAAAGGAAAAGCAUAAUUGAUCAAAGGAAGGGAGGAGAGAAAGAGGAGGAGGAGGAGGAAGAGAGAAACCUUUGGAUGUGUUGAGAAAAUAGAAGUGUAUAAGGAGGAGGAGGAAGAGGGAGAGGAGGAGGAGGAGGAGGAGGAUUGCGUAAGAGGUCGCGUUAAUCAUUCAUAAAGUCGAGAAAAAGACGAAAGAAAGUCGACGAAAUGAUGAUAAGGUUAAUAAUGGUCCAGAGAGAGAGAGAGAGAGAGAGAGAGAGAGGAAAAUUGUUAGUUUGGGUUAGGCAAUGUUAGGUAAGAUUCGAUUAGGUAAGGUUACAUAAGACUAGGUUAGGUUAGAUUAGGUAAGGUUGCAUAAGAUUAGGUUAGGGUAGAUUAGGUAAGGUUAGGUUAGGUUAGGUUAGGUUAGAUGUUAGGUAAAGUUAAAGUAAGGUAAAAUUAGGUUAGUAAGUUCGGUAAGAUUAGAUUAAGCAGGUAAAGUUUGGUUAGGUAAGGUUAGGCAAGGUUUGGUAAGAUUAGGCAAGGUUAGGUUAAGUUAGGUAAGGUUAAGUUGGGUAAAGUUGAAGUAAGGUAAAAUUAAGUUAGUAAGUUAGGUAAGAUUGGAUUAAGCAGGUAAAGUUUGGUUAGGUAAGGUUAGGCAAAGUUUAGUAAGAUUAGACAAGGUUAGGUUAAGUUAGGUAAGGUUAGAAACUGGGUAAAGUUGAAGUGAGGUAAAAUUAAGUUAGUAAGUUCGGUAAGAUUGGAUUAAGCACGUAAAGUUUGAUUAGGUAAGGUUAGGCAAGGUUUGGUAAGAUUAGGCAAGGUUAGGUUAAGUUAGGUAAGGUUAAGUUGGGUAAUGUUAAGUUAGGUAAGUUAGGUUAGGUUAAGUUAGGUAAAGAUAUGUUAGGUAAAGUUAAGUUAGGUAAGUUAGGUAAGGUAAAAUUUGGUUAUGCAACGUUAAGGGAAAAUACGAAAAAGAGGAAAAAGUUAAAGAAUCAAAGGGAAA